CCUACGGGAGGCAGCAGUGAGGAAUAUUGGUCAAUGGACGAGAGUCUGAACCAGCCAAGUAGCGUGAAGGAUGACUGCCCUAUGGGUUGUAAACUUCUUUUAUAUGGGAACAAAACAGGGUAUGCAUACCCUCUUGUAUGUACCAUAUGAAUAAGGAUCGGCUAACUCCGUGCCAGCAGCCGCGGUAAUACGGAGGAUCCGAGCGUUAUCCGGAUUUAUUGGGUUUAAAGGGUGCGUAGGGAGGUUGUUAAGUCAAUUGUGAAAGUUUACGGCUCAACCGUAAAAUGGCAGGUGAAACUGGCAGUCUUGAGUAGAGUAGAGGUAGGCGGAAUUCGUGGUGUAGCGGUGAAAUGCUUAGAUAUCACGCAGAACUCCGAUUGCGAAGGCAGCUCACUGGCCUGCAACUGACACUGAUGCACGAAAGUGUGGGUAUCGAACAGGAUUAGAUACCCCAGUAGUC
rnacentral:rRNA from 1 species